AGAGAGAGAGAGAGAGAGAUAGGUGGGAAUUCCAAGAAUCCUCCACAAAUGCCAUAGAUGAAGGUAUUUAUAGGGUAGGUGUGUGUAGUGGCUUUAGUAUCGUUGAUUGUGUGCCUUGCAUCAUGAUCUCAUGGAGGGGUUUAGUAUUUGUCUUCUGUCACUUUUGGGCCCAGUUGGACCAGUCCAGCAAGAGAGGUUAAAAGCAAAUCUUCCCUCUAAUGGUCUCCAUCCUGAGCCCACAAAGCCAAAUCUCCAUACUCAUCCCAUGGGCUAACUCCUUGGGCCCUGUCACUAGCCUAGGAGUGAACCUUUAUUGGUACCAAUUAAUUUUAUUUAAAUUAGGGGUAUCUAAUUUCUACACAUUUCAUGUCUAUCUUGUGCUAAAUAUGAACUUUAUGUCUUCAUGGUGGCUAUUUUGGAAAGACUGCUUGUAGUGAUGUUUGGAGAUUAAUGCUGAUAUAUAUAGUUUUUAUUUUGUUGUUUACUUACCGUUGUUCAACUGCAGGCCUUCAACAAUGCAACUGUU
rnacentral:misc_RNA from 1 species